GUUUUUUAUUCAUAAGCGGAGGAAAAGAAACCAACAGGGAUUGCCCUAGUAACGGCGAGUGAAGCGGCAACAGCUCAAAUUUGAAAGCUAGCCUUCGGGUUCGCAUUGUAAUUUGUAGAGGAUGCUUUGGGUAAAACGCCAGUCUAAGUUCCUUGGAACAGGACGUCAUAGAGGGUGAGAAUCCCGUAUGUGACUGGAAAUGUUAACCUAUGUAAAGCUCCUUCGACGAGUCGAGUUGUUUGGGAAUGCAGCUCUAAAUGGGAGGUAAAUUUCUUCUAAAGCUAAAUAUUGGCGAGAGACCGAUAGCGCACAAGUAGAGUGAUCGAAAGAUGAAAAGCACUUUGGAAAGAGAGUUAAAAAGCACGUGAAAUUGUUGAAAGGGAAGCGCUUGCAAUCAGACUUGUUUAAACUGUUCGGCCGGUCUUCUGACCGGUUUACUCAGUUUGGACAGGCCAGCAUCAGUUUCGGCGGCCGGAUAAAGGCUCUGGGAAUGUGGCCUCCACUUCGGUGGAGGUGUUAUAGCCCAGUGUGUAAUACGGCCAGCCGGGACUGAGGUCCGCGCUUCGGCUAGGAUGCUGGCGUAAUGGUUGUAAGCGACCCGUCUUGAAACACGGACCAAGGAGUCUAACAUCUAUGCGAGUGUUCGGGUGUCAAACCCCUGCGCGUAAUGAAAGUGAACGGAGGUGGGAACCGCAAGGUGCACCAUCGACCGAUCCUGAUGUCUUCGGAUGGAUUUGAGUAAGAGCAUAGCUGUUGGGACCCGAAAGAUGGUGAACUAUGCCUGAAUAGGGUGAAGCCAGAGGAAACUCUGGUGGAGGCUCGCAGCGGUUCUGACGUGCAAAUCGAUCGUCAAAUUUGGGUAUAGGGGCGAAAGACUAAUCGAACCAUCUAGUACUGGUCUCGAAGAAAUCCCCCCCC
rnacentral:rRNA from 1 species